GUUUUAAUAAUUUAAAUAAAAUAUUGGUCUUGUAAAUCAAAUAUAGAUCCACAUCUUUAAAACU
rnacentral:tRNA from 1 species